UGGGGAAUAUUGCACAAUGGGCGCAAGCCUGAUGCAGCCAUGCCGCGUGUAUGAAGAAGGCCUUCGGGUUGUAAAGUACUUUCAGCGGGGAGGAAGGGAGUAAAGUUAAUACCUUUGGUCAUUGACGUUACCCGCAGAAGAAGCACCGGCUAACUCCGUGCCAGCAGCCGCGGUAAUACGGCGGGUGCAAGCGUUAAUCGGAAUUACUGGGCGUAAAGCGCACGCAGGCGGUUUGUUAAGUCAGAUGUGAAAUCCCCGGGCUCAACCUGGGAACUGCAUCUGAUACUGGCAAGCUUGAGUCUCGUAGAGGGGGGUAGAAUUCCAGGUGUAGCGGUGAAAUGCGUAGAGAUCUGGAGGAAUACCGGUGGCGAAGGCGGCCCCCUGGACGAAGACUGACGCUCAGGUGCGAAAGCGUGGGGAGCAAACAGG
rnacentral:rRNA from 1 species